GUUAAGCGGAGAGGUGGGACUCGGGGGGUGGAGCCUGGGCGGUAGGGCCUACUGAGGGCGGGGAUCCCAGGGCAGGAUGCGCAGGGCAGGGGCGGUGGGGGAGGGGUAACCCGGCCAAGACGACGGAUACAGAAAGGGGCGGGGCGCAGUGGGACCGAUGAGGAGGGGUCGGCACACCUCGCAUACCUGCAGGCCCAAAUCCGGUCGGCGGCCCAAGAGUGCUCCCUAAAGUGGUCCUCUAAAGGCAGAACCGCUGCGGAGAAGGAAUGAGGAAAACGAGAGGAACGCAUACAAGCUUUGAGGAAGUGGGAAGAUGGGGUAAUGGAGGAGCCACCCUGUAAGGAACAGGCAGGUGUGGCUUCACCAGCACACAGUCCUGAAAAUGUUUCAGUUGUGCCCCCUGCAGAGCCACUGUCGGAGAAGCAGGCCAGCAAAGGUUCGGAUGGGAAGAGCAGGACAGGAAGGUGAAAAGUCCAGCCACACCAUGCAGGGAGAAGACAAAGCCCUGGCUUCCAAAAUAGCAGUCACCACUGGGGCAACGACUCACGGCCCCUCCUGAUCCACCUCUACCUUUGGCCCUCCCACACAGCCUGCAGGCAGCCUGUGUUGACACCACCAAGGACCUCUAGGGCUGAAGGGAGGGAAAAGAGGUCACGGCUAUUUUUCCCCAGCUCCCUCCCUGUGGAGUCACUGCCUCUACAGUCUUCCCAGUUUCCAGUGACCAACCUUCCCUUCUUCCAGGGAUCUGUUACUACCCUUGGGGUACCCUACACUCCACUCCCACCUUUGUAAGAUGACUUUAUUAAACUCUCCUCAGACUACCCUAACUUGAGUAUGUCUUUUGUUUCCUGCCGGGACUCAG